rnacentral:rRNA from 1 species
CAAUAGCGUAUAUUAAAGUUGUUGCAGUUAAAAAGCUCGUAGUUGAAUUUUUGCUUGCCGCCGAUGUCGGAACUUCCGUACGUUCGGCGGCGUGCAUCCUUGGGUGGAACCUGUGUGGCAUUAGGUUGUCGUGCAGGGGAUGCUCAUCGUUUACUGUGAAAAAAUUAGAGUGUUCAAAGCAGGCUUACGCCGUUGAAAAUAUUAGCAUGGAAUAAUAAGAUAGGACCUUGGUACUAUUUUGUUGGUUUGCGCACCGAGGUAAUGAUUAACAGGGACAGUUGGGGGUAUUCGUAUUCCAUUGUCAGAGGUGAAAUUCUUGGAUUUCUGGAAGACGAACUACUGCGAAAGCAUUUACCAAGGAUGUUUUCAUUAA